CAAAGGCUUGGUCCUGACUUUACUAUCAGCUUUAGCACAAAUUACACAUGCAAGUCUGCGCAGUCCCGUGAGGAUGCCCUUAAUCCCCCGCCCGGUGACGAGGAGCAGGCAUCAGGCACAAUUUCUUAGCCCAAGACGCCUUGCCAAGCCACACCCCCAAGGGAAAUCAGUAGCGAUAGAUAUUAAGCCAUAAGGGAAAACUUGACUUAACUAGUGCUAAGAGGGCCGGUAAAACUCGGGCCAGCCACCGUGGUUAUACGAGAGGCCCUAGUUGAUAACCACGGUGUAAAGGGUGGGUAAGGAGAGCAAAUAUUAAAGCCGAGUAACCUCUUGGCCGUGAUACGCUCCUGAGUAUGCGAAGCCCUAUUACGAAAGUAGCUUUAACACCAGCCACCUGACCCCACGAAAACUGAGAAACAAACUGGGAUUAGAUACCCCACUAUGCUCAGCUAUAAACCUAGACGUUUAAUCACAAUAAACGUCCGCCAGGGUACUACAAGCGCCAGCUUAAAACCCAAAGGACUUGGCGGUGCCUUAGACCCCCCUAGAGGAGCCUGUUCUAGAACCGAUAAUCCCCGUUAAACCUCACCACUUCUAGUCACCACCGCCUAUAUACCGCCGUCGUCAGCUUACCCUGUGAAGGACUAACAGUAAGCAAAAUAGAUAUAAUCCAAAACGUCAGGUCGAGGUGUAGCGCACGAAGUGGGAAGAAAUGGGCUACAUUUUCUAGCAUAGAACAUCACGAACGGUGUUAUGAAAAGAACACCUAAAGGAGGAUUUAGUAGUAAAAAGGAAAUAGAGUGUCCUUUUGAACUCGGCUCUGAGGCGCGUACACACCGCCCGUCACUCUCCCCCGUCAACUACAUCAAAAGUACAUUACAAAAAAACACCGACAAGGGGAGGCAAGUCGUAACAUGGUAAGUGUACCGGAAGGUGCACUUGGAUCAAACC
rnacentral:ncRNA from 1 species